rnacentral:rRNA from 1 species
GUGGGGAAUAUUGGACAAUGGGCGAAAGCCUGAUCCAGCCAUGCCGCGUGUGUGAAGAAGGUCUUCGGAUUGUAAAGCACUUUAAGUUGGGAGGAAGGGCAGUAAGUUAAUACCUUGCUGUUUUGACGUUACCAACAGAAUAAGCACCGGCUAACUUCGUGCCAGCAGCCGCGGUAAUACGAAGAGUGCAAGCGUUACUCGGAAUUACUGGGCGUAAAGCGCGCGUAGGUGGUUCAGCAAGUUGGAGGUGAAAUCCCCGGGCUCAACCUGGGAACUGCCUCCAAAACUACUGAGCUAGAGUACGGUAGAGGGUAGUGGAAUUUCCUGUGUAGCGGUGAAAUGCGUAGAUAUAGGAAGGAACACCAGUGGCGAAGGCGACUACCUGGACUGAUACUGACACUGAGGUGCGAAAGCGUGGGGAGCAAACAGGAUUAGAAACCCUAGUAGUCC